rnacentral:rRNA from 2 species
UAGGGAAUCUUCGGCAAUGGGCGAAAGCCUGACCGAGCAACGCCGCGUGAAUGAUGAAGGCCUUCGGGUUGUAAAAUUCUGUUAUAAGGGAAGAACGACUGUAGUAGGAAAUGGCUAAAGUGUGACGGUACCUUAUGAGAAAGCCACGGCUAACUACGUGCCAGCAGCCGCGGUAAUACGUAGGUGGCAAGCGUUAUCCGGAAUUAUUGGGCGUAAAGAGCGCGCAGGUGGUUGAUUAAGUCUGAUGUGAAAGCCCACGGCUCAACCGUGGAAGGUCAUUGGAAACUGGAUCACUUGAGUGCAGAAGAGGAAAGUGGAAUUCCAUGUGUAGCGGUGAAAUGCGUAGAUAUAUGGAGGAACACCAGUGGCGAAGGCGACUUUCUGGUCUGUAACUGACACUGAGGCGCGAAAGCGUGGGGAGCAAACAGG